UGUAAGUAAAAAUGUAUUUAAUAAAAGUGAUGGUGUUUUGGUAAAAAGAACAUCUCAGCUGAGGAGCCGCUGGUCUCAGCCACCAACAGGCCCCAGGUCAGUCCUUUUGACCAUCCCUAGAGCCCGUCUGUCGCCUCCACCAGUGAACUCGAGAACAAUGGUUCCUACAGGUAUUUAUAACAAUGCUUAAAGGUGUAAAAGUCAGUGUCCACACCUCUGGGAGUCUUCUGGUGAGUUCAAUGUAACUCGGAUUUCGAAUGGCCCUUAGUCAAUAUCAGUUGUUGUUCAAGUAUUACAUGCAUGCAUUCCAGUUGAUUACAUUACAUCAAAUACAAUCAUAACUGCAUUGGUAUUGUUCUAUUACAGUUGCAGAAUUACAGUGGUUUGACAAUAUUGUCAUUACUUUAUUGAUUACACAAUUUCAGAAUCAUGGCUGUAUUCUGGUGUACACUAUAUGCAUUUUUAUUAAUUUUAUGAACCGGAUCGUCAAUUUAUUUCUAAUAUCCUACACUAUGGAAUCCCAGAGUUCUUUAGUUUUGGACUACGGAGACCAACAGUCACACAACCUCUGCUAAAAGCCCCAUAGGCUCCAAUACAAAUCUGGCGACAUAUUUUUCAAAAAAUCCAGAAGGUACACGUUUUGUAAACUGCCUUAUUUAUUACCAGACAGACAUACAAAAAACCCUCCCUGUGUUCAGUAGAGUCUUGGGUCUCGUAAAAACGUCGUAUUUUUUAGAUAGCUUUUAUAGUUUUGCGCUGGUUGUCAUUUGUUUGAGGUGUGGAUUCUGUGUAACGCGUGCCCUGUCUCUGCCCUUUGCAGCAGCUCGUUAAUGAGCACAGGUGCGCCGUUGCCGUGGUUACUCGCACACACGCUGCAGGAUCUGUCUGUGACUCACAGCUGCUCCUAUUACUUCAUUAGUGGAGUCACGUGACGCAGCUAUGCUUUCUGUCUUCUGAUAAAGACACUCGCCCCCCCUCCCCCCUCCACCCUGACCUCUGCUCACUGUUAAUCACUCACUCAGUCUGUCUGUCUGUCUGUCUUUUUCUCCUCCUCUCUCUCUUCCUCACCCUCUCACCCUCUCUCCCUCUAUCUACACCCCCCCACCCCACCCAAUCCAAUAGGUGCACUGUUGCCGCGGUUACUCGCACAUAAACGCUGCAGGAUCUCUGUCUGUGACUCACAGCUGCUCCUAUGACCUGAUUAGUGGAGUCACAUGACGCAGCUAUGCUUUCUGUCAACAGACCAAUAUGAUAAAGACACUCGCCCCCCCUCCCCCCUCCACCCUGACCUCUACUCACUGUUAAUCACUCUCAGUCAGUCAGUAUGUCUGUCUAUUUCUCCUCCUCUCUCUCUUCCUCACCCUCUCACCCUCCCUCCCUCUAUCUACACCCCCCCACCCCACCCAAUCCAAUAGGUGCGCCGUUGCGUGGUUACUCGCACACAAAGCUGCAGUAUCUCUGUCUGUGACUCACAGCUGCUCCUAUGACCUGAUUAGUGGAGUCACAUGACGCAGCUAUGCUUUCUGUCAACAGACCAAUAUGAUAAAGACACUCGCCCCCCCUCCCCCCUCCCCCCUGACCUCUUCUCACUGUUAAUCAGUCAGUCAGUCUGUCCAUUUCUCCUCUCUCUCUCCCUCUAUCUCUUCCUCACCACCCCUCCCUUCCUCCCGCUCUCACCCUCCCUCCCUCUAUCUACACCCCCUCACCCCACCCAAUCCAUCCAUCCAUCCAUUGUCAAACCGCUUAUCCUGCACACAGGGUCGCGGGGGGGCUGGAGUCCAUCCCAGCCAACUUCGGGCGAUAGACAGGGUACACCCUGGAUUGGUCGCCAGCCAAUCGCAGGGCUAACACAGAGACAUACAACCAUUCACACUCACAUUCACACAACUACGGGCAAUUUAGAGUCCCCAAUUAACCUGAUCCCCAGAGCAUGUCUUUGGACUGUGGGAGGA
ensembl:lncRNA